rnacentral:rRNA from 1 species
AUUUAAUUGAAGAGUUUGAUCAUGGCUCAGAUUGAACGCUGGCGGUAGGUUUUAAACAUGCAAGUCGAGCGGUAACAGACAUUUUGAUUCAGCUUGCUGAAUCUCGUGCUGACGAGCGG